GGAGUCUGGGCCGUAUCUCAGUCCCAAUGUGGCCGUUCAACCUCUCAGUCCGGCUACUGAUCGUCGCCUUGGUGGGCCGUUACCUCACCAACAAGCUAAUCAGACGCGAGGCCAUCUCUCAGCGAUAUUUCUUUGGCAAUAGAGCCAUGCGACUCCUCUGCGUUAUGCGGUAUUAGCAGUCGUUUCCAACUGUUGUCCCCCUCUGAAAGGUAGGUUCCUCACGCGUUACUCACCCGUCCGCCACUGUCCUCAUAUUCCGUUGACCGAAAUCUCCUUCAUAUGAUUCUCGUUCGACUUGCAUGUGUUAAGCACGCCGCCAGCGUUCGUCCUCGAGCCAUGAUCAAACUCU
rnacentral:rRNA from 1 species